AGUUAAAUAUCAUUUCUUAGAUCUCUGGAUUCUUGUUGUUUCUCUAUUGUGGGCUUGUUUUGUUUUUCUUGUUUGCUUGGUUACUGGCAAGUUACUUGGUGGUUAUGCUUGGUAGUUAGCUGUCAACUUUUGUUAGGGUUUCAAAAAAUCAAAAUACUGCUGUUUCUAGUAAUGUUUAGAUCCAAACUACUGGCUUCUAAUCAACUUUGCUCUACUUUUCUUCUUCACUAGAGUUCUUACCCUCUCUCUCUGAUUCAAGGUAGCUUUGGUUUCUAUAUUCGUGUGUGUCGGUGAGUAUGGUGAAGAUUGCUGUUCUAGUGAUGAAUAUUUCUAGUUUAUUAUAGGUCUGCUGUUUUAAUUGUGGAGGGGUUUAAUUUGAAAUUUAUGUGUUUUAGUUAUGCAUUUGAAUGCAACUAAUUGAUGUUGAUGAGAUGUGUUUUAGGCUAAUAAGCUACAUUGUGGUGUUUCAAUGUUAUUGACAUUCUAUUGUGUUAUGAUCAUGCAGCUUUAUAUAUCUAGGUUUCUGGGGUAUUGGAAUGGGAAAAUCUCCAGGGAAAUGGAUCAAGUCCCUUAUUCUUGGGAGGAAAUCAUCAAAGUCUAAGUUGUCCAGAGGAAAUGAUGCUUCGAAAUCUGCCGAUAAAGGAGAGGUUUUGGUUUCUUCUGAAGCACCUAUGUCUGAUACAACUGUGGAUCAUUCAAUAAUUUCACAACUGGCUCCUGCUGUUGGUGCUAGAAGUGGAGAGGAAAAUCCAGAACAUGGAGCAACUGCUAAGUUGCAAAAGGAAGGGUUUACUUUUCCUUUUGCACAAAGAGAUGAGAAUGCAGAAGAAAACAUGAAAUUGGGUUCUGAAGGAGAUCCUGAGAGAAUCAGGCAUGAAACAGCUGCUACGAAGGCACAGGCAGCUUUUAGAGGGUAUCUGGCUCGCCGUGCAUUUCGAACACUUAAGGGCAUUAUAAGGCUGCAAGCUCUUUUCCGUGGCCGCUUGGUUAGAAGACAAGCAAUUGCUACCUUACGUUGUGUGCAUGCAAUUGUUAAACUUCAGGCAUUGGUUCGCGGUCACAAGGUUAGAUGUUCUACAGUUGGGAUUGAAGUGCGGAAUGCAUGCAACAUGGGAAAAGUUCAGGGUGCUCUAUGUUCAGAUUCUUCUGGAAUAUCUGCAUCAACUCCAGUGGAGAAGCUGAUAAAGAAUGUAUUUGUUCAGAAGCUUUUGGCUUUAUCAUCUGGCGCAAUACCUCUUAGCCUCCACUAUAGUCCUGAGGAGCCUAACUCGUCCUGGGAGUGGCUGGAACGCUGGACAGGGUCACACUUACAGGAAUCCCAUUUAAAACCAAAGAAUAAUGUUGAGCAUGAUACAGUUAAAAAAAUAGAAACUGAACAAGGCAAGCAAAAACGAAGUGUUCGGAAAGUAUCCCGAGCUAAUGCUGAGAACAGCUCAGGUCGAUCAAAUAAAGUGUCUGAAAGACCAAAACGCAAUCUGAGAGAACUUCCAAGUCACCCAUUAGAUUCAGUUCAGGAACAUCCACAAAAUGAAUUUGAGAAGGUAAAUCGCAAUUUAAGAAAAGCUUCUGAUUCCGCAAAAGAUGCUCGUGAAAGAUUCCAUAUUGAUAGUGGGAAACCAAAGCGCAGUGUGAAAAAGUCAUCCAUUGCUGCUGCCCCUGCUGCCCCUGAAAUUUCAGAGGGCACUAAUGAUAUGGCAGUGGUUGUGAUGAAAGGAUCUGAUGAUGAUGCAAGUCCAAAACAUACUGCUGUUAGUGCAUUACAAGAGCAUCAUGAUUUAGAUUCGCAACAUGCGGGGAACAAUAGUAAAGUUCAUGAUAUUCAAGAGACAAUUAAGCAAUUAAACCCUAAGGACUAUAACACUGGAAAUGAGAACCAGAAAAUCAGUGAGAGAAGAGCUUCGUUUCCUCCAAAUAUCGACAAUCAGGAGAAUGGCAUUGAUAAUACGCCAAAAGUGCCCAGCUAUAUGGCACCAACUGAAUCUGCAAGAGCAAAGCUGAGAGGACAAGGAUCACCUAGAUUUUCUCAAGAUGCAAUUGAGAAUAUUGGUACAACCAGAAGGCAUUCUCUGCCAUCUUCCGCUAAUGGCAAGUUUCCUUCAAUGUCACCACGAGCACAGAAACUGGUCCAUGCAGCUGGCAAAGGAGUGACCGGAAGUGAUGUAUCGCUAUCUUCUUCCAGAGAUGACACUGUUUCAGAUAAGGUGAUUAAAGCUGAGUGGAGGAGGUGAUUUUGCAGGAGGAAUGCUUGGUAGGUAUAUUAUACUGAGCAAGGAAAUGAAACAAAAAUUGGUUUUCCCAUUUUUUUUCUUUUAUACUAUACAUGCUAUCAGUUAGAUGAUAAUCCCUUGGUGUGUGAAGCAUGUUCAUGUAAUUAUCAUAGUAAUUUUAUGCUGGGGUGUUUAGGUAGAUGCCUUUAUGCUGUAUGACUUUUUUUUUUCUCUUUCGUUUUCCAUAUACAUUAGAUAACUUACCCAUCAUUGGCGACCGGAUCAUAUAUUUCUUUCAUUGUUAUAUUAUAUUACGUCCUGGUAUCCUACCCUUUUUGUGUAUACAUUUUUUUUGACAAAUUUAUAUACCAUAGCUAUUUGUAUGGUUUGGCUAAGGAAGCAGGUGAAAAAGGUCUUGUCUACUAAGAGAAGUCCGCAAGUUGCAGCAAGUCAUACAGCAGAAGUUGCUACAAGCGUUGGACAAAAGCUGAUGUAUAUCUAGUGCUGGGUCAUUUCGUGUAGACCUCCAUGUGAAUAAUUAGACAGUGCAGAAAGCAAGCAGGGUGGAAUUUCCCUGGGCCAACUGAAAAACAAUUCAUGAAAAAUGGGAUUAAUUUAAUCUGUAAUCACUAAAUUUUGGGUACAAUAAUUUGUGAAACAAAAAUCAUUGAACUAUUAAAUUCCAAAAAAAAUUUAGUGAGAUUCCUAAUACGACUGCUUAGUAAGAUAUUUUCGAUAGCAGAUCAUAAAGAAUUACACAGAAGUAAAAUCUCUGCUAGCAACAAUAAUCUCAUUAUAACACAGGUUAAAGUUGGGGACGAAUAAUAGCCAUGCCAUUUUCGUCCUAAAGAAGUUCAGCACAGCAGUUGUUUUGUAAUUUUUGUUGGAUACUAAAAGGCUGAAAAAUAAAUCAUGUAUGCUAUAUGCA
rnacentral:misc_RNA from 1 species